AAAUUGAAGAGUUUGAUCAUGGCUCAGAUUGAACGCUGGCGGCAGGCCUAACACAUGCAAGUCGAGCGGUAACACAGGGAGCUUGCUCCCGGGUGACGAGCGGCGGACGGGUGAGUAAUGUCUGGGAAACUGCCUGAUGGAGGGGGAUAACUACUGGAAACGGUAGCUAAUACCGCAUAACGUCGCAAGACCAAAGAGGGGGACCUUCGGGCCUCUUGCCAUCAGAUGUGCCCAGAUGGGAUUAGCUAGUAGGUGGGGUAACGGCUCACCUAGGCGACGAUCCCUAGCUGGUCUGAGAGGAUGACCAGCCACACUGGAACUGAGACACGGUCCAGACUCCUACGGGAGGCAGCAGUGGGGAAUAUUGCACAAUGGGCGCAAGCCUGAUG
rnacentral:rRNA from 1 species